rnacentral:rRNA from 1 species
AGGUACAGCGGGAAGCCACCCGGCGACGGGGCGCAGAACCCGAAAACCUGUCUCAGUUCGGAUUGGAGUCUGCAACCCGACUCCAUGAAGCUGGAUUCGCUAGUAAUCGCGCAUCAGCCACGGCGCGGUGAAUACGUUCCCGGGCCUUGUACACACCGCCCGUCAAGCCAUGGAAGCCGGGGGUGCCUGAAGUGCGUGACCGCAAGGGACGCCCUAGGGUAAAACCGGUGACUGGGGCUAAGUCGUAACAAGGUACC